UACGUAGGGUGCAAGCGUUAAUCGGAAUUACUGGGCGUAAAGCGUGCGCAGGCGGUUUUGUAAGUCUGUCGUGAAAUCCCCGGGCUUAACCUGGGAAUGGCGAUGGAGACUGCAAGGCUAGAGUUUGGCAGAGGGGGGUAGAAUUCCACGUGUAGCAGUGAAAUGCGUAGAGAUGUGGAGGAACACCGAUGGCGAAGGCAGCCCCCUGGGUCAAAACUGACGCUCAUGCACGAAAGCGUGGGGAGCGAACAGG
rnacentral:rRNA from 1 species